GGAGGAGGAGGAGGAGGAGGCGGCCCGGCAGCAGCGGGGAUCGUUGUCGGUAACCAAAGGGGCUCUGGUGAAUUUCAGCCUGAAAAGUCAAGCUGGAGCUCCGGCUUAGGGUAGGGACUUCCACUCCUAGGGACCUCGGCACGGAUCAGAAUAAAGUCCUGCUGCGCCGGCCAGAGGCGAAAGUGGAAUGUGGAUUGCAAUCUGGAAGAAUUCGGCUGGACCCCGAGAAGGUCCUGGAGUCCCCAGCUUUGGACCACUCAUGCUCGAUCCAGCGCGUUCCUGAGUGUGAGUGCGCGUGUCCUUCCAGUUCCCUGAUGCGCGCCCAAGGCCCAGUAUUCCCACCACCACAGCAUGCAAAGGAUCUCUGGCCAAAGCCGACCUCUCAGCAUCAACAACACCUCCCCUUCUCUCGCCCACCACAUCUCCUACACAGUGAAAGUGUUUUGUUGUUGUUGUUGUUGUUGUUGUUGUUGUUGUUAAGGAGAGAAUGAGAGAGAUAUUUAUGCACAUAUUUAUCCCUCUAAUUAUAGGAAUUAAUCCUCUUAUGACUAAAAGGUAACGUGGAAGGACGUCCUUUUGAUGUGGAAAAGCACCAUUUGUGACUCGCAUUCAGACUGAUUAAGGAAUAAUUGUUGUUAAACGCUUUGCAAGAGGAAAGUGUUUAAUUGAGGGGCAUUCGUAAUUUUACGGCUUAGUGCAAAAUUAAGCGUAAUUAAAAACUCAGAAAUUCCAACUGA